GCUAGGUAAUGCUCAGUUGGUAGAGCAUGAGACACUUAAUCUCACAGCCGUGGGUUCGACUCCCACAUUCGACA